rnacentral:rRNA from 1 species
UACGAGGGGGGCGAGCGUUGUUCGGAAUUAUUGGGCGUAAAGGGUGCGUAGGCGGUUCCGCAAGUCCUGUGUGAAAUCUUCGGGCUCAACUCGAAGUCUGCACGGGAAACUGCCGGGCUUGAGUAUGGGAGAGGUGAGUGGAAUUCCUGGUGUAGCGGUGAAAUGCGUAGAUAUCAGGAGGAACACCUGUGGCGAAAGCGGCUCACUGGACCAUAACUGACGCUGAGGCACGAAAGCGUGGGGAUCAAACAGG